CAUUGGGACUGAGACACGGCCCAGACUCCUACGGGAGGCAGCAGUGGGGAAUAUUGCGCAAUGGGGGGAACCCUGACGCAGCAACGCCGCGUGCAGGAAGAAGGUCUUCGGAUUGUAAACUGUUGUCGCAGGGGAAGAAGACAGUGACGGUACCCUGUGAGAAAGUCACGGCUAACUACGUGCCAGCAGCCGCGGUAAUACGUAGGUGACAAGCGUUGUCCGGAUUUACUGGGUGUAAAGGGCGCGUAGGCGGAUGUGCAAGUCAGUCGUGAAAUACCGGGGCUCAACCCCGGGGCUGCGAUUGAAACUGCACACCUUGAGUAUCGGAGAGGAAAGCGGAAUUCCUAGUGUAGCGGUGAAAUGCGUAGAUAUUAGGAGGAACACCAGUGGCGAAGGCGGCUUUCUGGACGACAACUGACGCUGAGGCGCGAAAGUGUGGGGAGCAAACAGGAUUAGAUACCCUGGUAGUCCACACCGUAAACGAUGGAUACUAGGUGUAGGAGGUAUCGACCCCUUCU
rnacentral:rRNA from 1 species